rnacentral:rRNA from 1 species
UGCGGAGGGGGCUAGCGUUGUUCGGAAUUACUGGGCGUAAAGCGCACGUAGGCGGCUUUGUAAGUUAGAGGUGAAAGCCCAGGGCUCAACCCUGGAAUUGCCUUUAAGACUGCAUCGCUAGAAUUGUGGAGAGGUAAGUGGAAUUCCGAGUGUAGAGGUGAAAUUCGUAGAUAUUCGGAAGAACACCAGUGGCGAAGGCGACUUACUGGACACAUAUUGACGCUGAGGUGCGAAAGCGUGGGGAGCAAACAGG